ACCAGGUCUUGACAUCCCGAUGCUAUUUCUAGAGAUAGAAAGUUACUUCGGUACAUCGGUGACAGGUGGUGCAUGGUUGUCGUCAGCUCGUGUCGUGAGAUGUUGGGUUAAGUCCCGCAACGAGCGCAACCCCUAUUGUUAGUUGCCAUCAUUCAGUUGGGCACUCUAGCGAGACUGCCGGUAAUAAACCGGAGGAAGUGGGAUGACGUCAAAUCAUCAUGCCCCUUAUGACCUGGGCUACACACGUGCUACAAUGGUUGGUACAACGAGUUGCGAGUCGGUGACGGCGAGCUAAUCUCUUAAAGCCAAUCUCAGUUCGGAUUGUAGGCUGCAACUCGCCUACAUGAAGUCGGAAUCGCUAGUAAUCGCGGAUCAGCACGCCGCGGUGAAUACGUUCCCGGGCCUU
rnacentral:rRNA from 1 species